GGUUGCGAUCAUACCAGCACUAAUGCACCUGAUCCCAUCAGAACUCCGCAGUUAAGCGUGCUUAGGCGAGAGUAGUACUAGGAUGGGUGACCCCCUGGGAAGUCCUCGUGUUGCAACCCC
rnacentral:rRNA from 1 species